AUGAACGUUGCGCUGAUGCUACGGUGGGUUUGGCGGAUCUUGAGGGGAGAUGGGGGUAUCUGGCUACAGUUGUUGGAGGCCAAGUACUUGCAGGGUUAACCCCUCUUGUCUUGCUCUCUCUCGGUCGGGUCCCAGUUCUGGAAGUCUAUUCAGGCCAUUAAAGAAGAGAUCAGGCUGGGUUUGCAUUUCUCGGUUGGCAAUGGGUCUGGGACCCAGUUUUGGUUGGACCCUUGGUUUGAGGAUGAGCCUCUUCGCCUGCGGUUUCUGAGGCUCUUUGGGAUUUGUGACGACUCGACCAUCCUUGUUUCAUCGGCUGCCUUGGAUGAGGGGUGGAACAUUGCGUUCCGCUGAUCAUUCGGAUCCGAUGAGGUUCAGGAAUGGAGUAAGAUGAGGGAAGUAGUCCCUCUUCCUCUGUCCCAGGCCCCUGACUCUGUUUCCUGGAGUCUCUCUCCUUCAGCUGACUUCUCCGUUAGUUCGGCCUAUCAGGCCCUAUGUCGUGUGCCGGUUCUACAGUGGCUAUCCCCAUUGUGGAAGGCGCCGAUGCCCUUGAAGAUUAAGAUUUUCAUUUGGCAUCUUCUCCGAGGUCGUCUUCCUUCGGGAACCGAGGUGCUGAAACGCCAGGGUCCGGGCGAUGGCAUGUACCCUUUGUGCCAUGUCCCGGAAACGGGAACACACAUUUUGUUCUCGUGCAUCGCAGCGCAGGAUCUUUGGUGCUUUGUUCGUGAGGCUUUAGAACCGGAGUGGGAGUCCCUUGACCUUGCACAAUUUCUGCAGGUUAGGGCCACUCAGGUUGGCCAUAAGCGUCUACUGUUUUGGCUCAUCUUCGUGGCUAUGAUGUGGACCCUUUGGACUACUCGCAAUAAGAUGGUGAUUCAACGGUGUUCCGGACACGUGCUUCUGACUCGUUCUUCAAAUUUCUUGCCUUCCUACAGCACUGGCAUCCGCUCGCUAGGCCGAGGGGUCGUGACCAUCUUCAGCUCCUUCUUGACGCCCUAG
rnacentral:rRNA from 1 species